AGCGAACGCUGGCGGCAGGCCUAACACAUGCAAGUCGAACGAACCUUUCGGGGUUAGUGGCGGACGGGUGAGUAACACGUGGGAACGUGCCUUUAAGUUCGGAAUAACUCAGGGAAACUUGUGCUAAUACCGAAUGUGCCCUUCGGGGGAAAGAUUUAUCGCCUUUAGAGCGGCCCGCGUCUGAUUAGCUAGUUGGUUGAGGUAAUGGCUCACCAAGGCGACGAUCAGUAGCUGGUCUGAGAGGAUGAUCAGCCACAUUGGGACUGAGACACGGACCAAACUCCUACGGGAGGCAGCAGUGGGGAAUAUUGCGCAAUGGGCGAAAGCCUGACGCAGCCAUGCCGCGUGAAUGAUGAAGGUCUUAGGAUUGUAAAAUUCUUUGACAGGGGACGAUAAUGACGGUACCCGGAGAAGAAGCCCCGGCUAACUUCGUG
rnacentral:rRNA from 1 species